UUUUCCGAGGGUUUUAUCGACUAUUUCCCCUCUCCUCUCCGAUAGAGGUAAACUAAAUAAAAUUUGGUGGCGACUCUUCUGACUUUGCCUCUCUUUGGCAUCUCUUUAGUCCUAAUUUCGUUAUCGUGAAAUCCCGGUAGCGACAGCUGGCGACUCUGUUGGGAAGACGAAAUUCCCUAAGCAAGUCUAACCUAGUUUGGGUUGUUUCCUCUUUUACGUAUGUGGAGAUUUAUCUGUUAUCUAUUUU
rnacentral:lncRNA from 1 species